UUUUGCAUCAGACACCCUGUAUAAUAAAUUUUAUUAUUACUAUAAUUUUAAGCAUAUCUUUUUUACAGCUCUUUCAAAUCUUACGGCUUCAAUUAUUGAUGCUGAAACGCUAAGUUAGCUGAUUCUACACGAGAUUUUACACAUUUUAAUACAAGAUGUCUUUUAAUUAUCAGUUGCAUCAGUGGGCAUUAGAAUGCAGUAACGCUGUUAAUCAGUAUUAUCACGAACAAAAACAAGUAGAGUUAGUUGCAGCAAUUUCAAUGAUUGCAAAUGUAAUAAAAUCAAAAAAGAAAAGGAAAAGGAGAUGCUGGGUUUCAAAAGUAUUCGCAGAAAGAAAGAGACAUGGAUUCUAUUAUGCAAUACUUCCUAAUAUUAGGUUGGAAGAUCUUCGUUUCAGAAACUAUACAAGGAUGACAGCGACACAAUUUGAAGAACUAUUGUCGAUAAUAGGACACGAUUUAAAAAAGCAUUAUGUUGUGCGUGAGCCAAUAAAUGAAGAGCAACGUUUAAUGGUGACUUUAAGAUAUCUUGCCUCAGGAGACAGUAUGAUGUCAUUGUCGUACCAAUUUUUAAUUUCGUAAAGCAGUAUUACAAAUAUUAUACGCGAAACAUGUUAUGUUAUAUGGGAGCGUUUGUAUCCUAUUGUGCUUUCACAAUGUGAUACAAACGACUGGAAGGAAAUCGCAAACGACUUUGCGAAUAAAUGGAACUUUCCUCACUGUAUUGGUGCGAUUGAUGGCAAACACAUCGUUAUUCAAUGUCCAGACAAUGCAGGAUCAGAAUAUUAUAAUUAUAAAGGCAGUCACAGCAUUAUCUUACUCGCAAUAUGUGAUGCAAAUUAUAUUAUACGUUGUGUUGACAUUGGUGCUCCUGGAAGGCAGGGUGAUGCAGGUCUUUUCAAAAAUAGUGCCAUGGGCCUGUUAUUAGAAAGAAAAGAAUUUAAUCUUCCAUUACCUGAAGCAUUAUAUGAAGAUGGUCCAAUUUUGCCAUACGUAUUAGUAGGAGACGAGGCAUUUCCGUUAAAUGAUGCGACCUUUUCCUGGAAAAAGUGGAAUGACAUUAGAAAAACGUAUUUACAACUAUCGUUUAGCUCGAGCUCGAAGAACGAUUGAGAACGUUUUUGGCAUUUUAGCUAGCCAAUGGCGACUUCUGAGACGACCAAUUAUAGCAGAUGUAUCAAAUGCAACAAAAAUGAUUCAAGCAAUAGUCUGCCUUCAUAACUGGCUGAGAAAACAUGAUGUUGAGCGAGAAACUUACGUAACAGAACAAUUUGCUGAUACGCCUCAAAUAGAUGGAGAUAUUGAAAAUGGCUCCUGGAGACAAAAUGUUGAAGAUUUUCGUGCAUAUAUUAACAUUAGAUGUACUCAAACAAGAACAUAUUCGUUACGCGCAGCUAACAUUCGAGAAGAGUUCUGUAGAUAUUUUAAUGAAGAAGGAGAAGUUGGUUGACAAAAUAUUCAAAUAUACAAGUGAAUAAAUAGAAUUUGCUAAUUUGUAAUUCUUUAAGAAAAAGAU